rnacentral:lncRNA from 1 species
GGAUGACAUGGGAAUACCAGUCCCAGAGUCAGAAGGAACCCAUUGUGGUGAAAACUGGGGACUUUCUGCCCCAGUAUGUUGGACUGUACCCUCCCUGACCUCACCAUUAGCAAUGUUGAAGAUGACUCUCCAGUUAAGUUAUCAAGGUCAUGUAAUACUGGGAAAGAAGAUGACCGUGGAAUGCCUGGAUUCAAGCCCUGGUCUUCUAUUUGCAAGAUGAGUUCUUUGGAUAAAUCACAAUCUACCAGAACUUCAGUUUGCUCUUUUGUAAAUUGGAGGUCGGCCCAAGGAAUCCACUUGCCUGAGGAAAUACUAGGAUCUUUUUAAAAGAGAAACACAAAGAGGGAAAAUGAGCAAUCAGCUUCUACUAUACAAUAUAGAAUUCUGCAGAAGACAAUUUCUAUUGUCUUGAGAGAGAAUUUUUCCAAGUCCUUUUUGCCUCCUCAUCAGAGACCCAACACUUACAGAGAUCACCUGUAGUGUGGAAAUGAUAGAGCCCUGGGCCAGCCCCCUCUGAGGCUUGCUGUUCAAAGAACCACAGUAAAGAAAGCUUUCAAAAGACACAAGUCCAUAUGAAUGGGAGAGCAGAAGAAGAGACCCCAACCACACAAUCUGGAAGGUAGAAAGAGAUGGACAAGUGACAGCUAACUUACCAGGUCUGAGAAAGCUGAGUCCCGUAUUGACAGUAGACAAAGCUGGGAAGAACCAAAGCAACUAACAUCACAGAUUUUUCAAAGGGCUCAGGAACUAGAAGACCCAAGAUCUCUAGGACUUGGCGUGAGAGGGCUGCCUGAAAUAAGGAAGGCUGAGUGAAUCCUAUUUCAGGAGCAGUUAGAAUCCCCAGAUUCCCUCAUCAUCUCCAUAUUUGCCUUUUCCUACCUGGGCAGAAGUCUGAAGAUUUGUUCUCUGAAAAGGGUGGCAGGGGUUCUGGAUCUGGAGCACAGUAGGUACAGUUAAGGGCAUAGGUACCUGACCCAAAACACAGGAGUGAGGAGCUGUGCGUGGUGAAUGCUGGGUUCAACAAACUCUUUCCAUCUUCCCCGACUCUGCUUUGAGAACUCUAGCAGAAAGACCCUUACACUCCAGGCAGGAAGUUGGAACCUAGCCAAAUGGUCUAAUUAAAGCAACGUGGUGC